rnacentral:rRNA from 1 species
AUUGAACGCUGGCGGCAUGCCUUACACAUGCAAGUCGAACGGCAGCACGGGAGCAAUCCUGGUGGCGAGUGGCGAACGGGUGAGUAAUAUAUCGGAACGUGCCCAGUCGUGGGGAUAACGUAGCGAAAGCUACGCUAAUACCGCAUACGAUCUACGGAUGAAAGCGGGGGAUCGCAAGACCUCGCGCGAUUGGAGCGGCCGAUAUCAGAUUAGGUAGUUGGUGAGGUAAAGGCUCACCAAGCCGACGAUCUGUAGCUGGUCUGAGAGGACGACCAGCCACACUGGGACUGAGACACGGCCCAGACUCCUACGGGAGGCAGCAGUGGGAAUUUUGGACAAUGGGCGCAAGCCUGAUCCAGCAAUGCCGCGUGCAGGAUGAA